CUCCUCUCCUGGCCAAUCCUAUAAAAGGAUGGGCUUGGCUCAUAAACCAAUCAGAGACCCCCAAGGGGGCGGAGUUUUCUUUGGCCUGGAUCUCUGCCUGAGGGGUAAAACUAAAACGUUUCCACCUCCAGCCAAUCCCAGAGAAGGCAGGAGCGCACUCCUCCAAUGGGAGCCCGAGAGCGGUCAGUGGCCGUGGAGGCCUGCUACCCCCGCUAGCUCUCCAGCCCGCCGGAGGGACGCUAGAUCCAGCCGCCGGCCCCUUGAAUCUGCUCCCCCUCGGCAGCGGUGGCGCGGAGGGCAGGAGGUGUCUGGUGAGACGGUCAGCGGGUAUCGGAGGAUCGUGCGGGUAGCAAAGGGAUGGCGAGUGCCCCUGCAGCCCCAGACAACAACCAGGUGUCCUUUUUCUCUGGAUGCUUUGAAGAUCCUUCUUUGA
rnacentral:lncRNA from 1 species